UGGCCACAUCACAUUGAAAUACUGGUUCUUGUACAAUCACUGAAGUUAAGCAACAUUGAGCCUGGUCAGUACCUAGAUGAGUGGCAAUUUAGGAAUACCAGGUGCUGUAAG